rnacentral:rRNA from 1 species
ACGGAAGGCAGCAGUGGGGAAUAUUGCACAAUGGGGGAAACCCUGAUGCAGCGACGCCGCGUGAGUGAAGAAGUAUUUCGGUAUGUAAAGCUCUAUCAGCAGGAAAGAAAAUGACGGUACCUGACUAAGAAGCCCCGGCUAACUACGUGCCAGCAGCCGCGGUAAUACGUAGGGGGCAAGCGUUAUCCGGAUUUACUGGGUGUAAAGGGAGCGUAGACGGCUUUGCAAGUCUGAAGUGAAAGCCCGGGGCUCAACCCCGGAACUGCUUUGGAGACUGUAGAGCUAGAGUGCAGGAGAGGUAAGUGGAAUUCCUAGUGUAGCGGUGAAAUGCGUAGAUAUUAGGAGGAACACCAGUGGCGAAGGCGGCUUACUGGACUGUAACUGACGUUGAGGCUCGAAGGCGUGGGGAGCAAACAGGAUUAGAUACCCUGGUA